UGUUGGACCUGAUUGGAUAACAAUCUGGCACGACCACUGGUGAGUGACGACACAGAACAUCUGCAACAAUCCUAUGUAGGCCGUGUGCCAAUCGGCGACAAGCAGUUUUUCGGGUCGAAAUCUUGGCCGAACAAUGUAUAGCAGCAUUGCCUAAACUUCCCGUACCAGCAACUAGAUUGAAGGAAUUCCACGAUCCGGUCAUUACGUCACGUUAGCAUCUACAUACGCAGCCGGCGGGAAAAACGGAUUACAUUGGGAAGCGCACGAUGGUAAACGGUGCUGGUAUUAUGCACUCAACGGAGUUCGCUUUCCAUAUUUGCACCAGACCAGCACCGUAGCAUUGCUUCCAGUGCGACGAUAAUUAUGCUUUUUUAUAUUCUUUUUAUGCUUGGAAAGCGCAAUUGUUGAAUAUAAAAUGUAAAUAAAACAGAUUGCAUCAACUG